rnacentral:rRNA from 1 species
UACGAAGGGGGCUAGCGUUGUUCGGAAUUACUGGGCGUAAAGCGCGUGUAGGCGGGUCUUUAAGUCAGGGGUGAAAUGCCAAGGCUCAACCUUGGAACUGCCUUUGAUACUGGAGAUCUUGAGUCCGGGAGAGGUGAGUGGAAUUGCGAGUGUAGAGGUGAAAUUCGUAGAUAUUCGCAAGAACACCAGUGGCGAAGGCGGCUCACUGGCCCGGAACUGACGCUGAGGCACGAAAGCGUGGGGAGCAAACAGG